rfam:Schistosoma curassoni strain Dakar, Senegal genome assembly, scaffold: SCTD_scaffold0000236
GCACUGCUGAGGGGUCUCAUACUAAGACGAAACGGCCGUCCAGUGC